rnacentral:lncRNA from 1 species
CUGAGGCAGAGCAGAGAUAAGCAGGCUCCUGCAGCAACCCUGUCUUGCUAACUUGACACUUGCCAGACCUGGCCAGCAUGGUUGUCCUGAAUCCAAUGGCUUUGGGAAUUUAUCUUCAGCUUUUCUUCCGCUCGAUCUUGUCUCAGCCGACUUUCAUCAAUAGCGUCCUCCCGAUCUCAGCAGGUAAAUGAUGCCCAGCAUUCUCCUCUGGG